rnacentral:rRNA from 1 species
GUGGGGAAUUUUGGACAAUGGGCGCAAGCCUGAUCCAGCCAUUCCGCGUGAGUGAAGAAGGCCUUCGGGUUGUAAAGCUCUUUCGCAAGGGAAGAAAACUUACCUUUUAAUAGAGGGUGAGGUUGACGGUACCUUGAUAAGAAGCACCGGCUAACUACGUGCCAGCAGCCGCGGUAAUACGUAGGGUGCGAGCGUUAAUCGGAAUUACUGGGCGUAAAGCGUGCGCAGGCGGUUUUGUAAGUCAGAUGUGAAAGCCCCGGGCUCAACCUGGGAAAUGCGUUUGAAACUACAAGGCUAGAGUAUGGGAGAGGGGGGUAGAAUUCCACGUGUAGCAGUGAAAUGCGUAGAGAUGUGGAGGAAUACCAAUGGCGAAGGCAGCCCCCUGGCCUAAUACUGACGCUCAUGCACGAAAGCGUGGGGAGCAAACAGGAUUAGAAACCCUUGUAGUCC